CGCGGCCCCGCCGGCCCGGAGCCGCUCACCCGAAAUCCUGGUCCAUGGACUUGAAGAAGAACUUGUAGCUGUGCACGGGCCGGUUGCUGAGGACAUUUUUGAAAUCGGCCAGAGUGACUUUCUCCGGCGGGACGGGCAGCUUCACCAGACGGAAGCACGACGGGUUAUCCAGCAGACUUGCCUGGAUCUCUUUCAGCCAGGAUUUCGCUGUACCAGCUCACAGCCUGGAUGUGCAGGCUGCUUCUGCAAACCACUGUUCUGAGCCUCAGUCCAGCCACACAACAUCUGCCCGUCCCGAAGGAAACAAGGGCAAUAAUCUUAACUUGGACCAUCACCUCGAUCAGCCUGGGGUGAUACCGGCAUGUCUGACCAUCACCCGAAUUCAAACUGGUAAUCAAAGCAAGGAUGAGGAACUCGUAAAGCUCUUCCUAGUGCUCGUUUCAGAGAACAUAUUAUUUUUUUUUCCCCUUAAGCUAUUUUGCAGCCUGGAAGUCCAAUAAAAUAUUUAAAUGCCUCCGGAGUUUAUGAGUAACGCCACUUUGAGCCGGUGUCUGUAUGAGCUGCGCUGAGCAAUUUGAACUGGCAAGUGAAGAUCUCCAACCUUUGACUCACAGACAUGAAAGGGAGGGAGAGAGACGUUAACGACAACGACUCGAGACUCUGCACCCUGAUGGAAUAACCAGCGCAGCCUCCUGCACCUGCAGGAAUGCGCUUGGAUCUCAACCCCAUCUGACCAAAGGCAGCCCCAGAACGGCCGGCUGGGCAAACAGGGCCCUGGCCCAACCUCGGCCCCUCCUCACCACCAUUCGUGGCUCUGCACAGUCUGAGCUCUUUUGUAGGGGUGAAUCUGAAGUGAAGGUAAAGGCACUUAAAUCACAACACCCAUCCAGAGCAGUGGAAGGGCUAAGGAAACUAAAAGAUAAGCUGUAGCUUAGGAAGGCUCACCUCCACCUCUACUGUUAUAUUCUCUUAUUCAUAUUUUUAACAUUUGAAGGCAUUAAAGCUAAGGGUCCCCACUAUAUUUAUUCUUUAACAUAGACCUUAGUAACAGAGAGAGGUAUUAACACCUAUAAAAACUGGCACAGUCUAUUUUCCACUCCUAUAAAAAGCCUGCAUUGAAGUACGGAUGUUCAAGCCACAUUGGGCAGCAGGUCACACUCCCAGUUGUUUAGCCGGUAAACCAAGUGGCUUUCCUUGGACCACAGCUGCUUCCUUACCUGCAAAGACCCCAGAAUUCUCCAUCCCCAGGAAGAAACCCACGCAAGCAGAGCACCAGUUCAAGACUGGAACCACACCAUCACCCUUACGUAGUUCCACACAAACUCAUCUUCAGGUUUCCACCACCCUCAACCCCGAGACCCUGUCCCAGCCCCAUUCUGUCACCAACCCGUGUGCAGUCCCUCCCUCCACCACUCUCGUUGGCCCACCGAGGAGCCGGCUGGCAAUCCUCAGCCACCUUCCCCUUACACAAGAACACAAGUCGCUACCAUCACACAACAGCAGGAAAGGCUUUUUCUUCCAUGCCCCAAGGAGCAGAAGUGUCCCUGGUUUGGGAGCAGUGCCACAGAAUGUCCCAAACAGUCCAAGGAGCUGUGGACAACUCUCAGUGUGCUCUGGCUUUCCUGAUGCUUUAACCUGCUUGGGUUCCAACACUGAAUUACUGACUCCCAGUUUUUGACACACUGUUCAUAUGGAGAACUCCCCAUCAGCCCACAGCACCACUAUUUGGGGUGCCUGCUCCCCACGACAAUGCCAAAAUCCACAACAGACUCAUCUCCCUCCUCAACUCCCCUUCUGAGACCCUGACCCAUGGAAAUUCCUGACGGGCUAUUAAGUGGAACGUGUUGUUCCUCCUGUUCUGCUCAUAAGAAGCGACUCUUUAAUGAUCUGUCUCCCUGUGCUGUAAUCAUACCUUUGUUUUGAUGUGUGGCCUGGAUCCACCCAGGGACUGCAGGAAAACCACAUUCCAGAUUCCACACAGGAGUUUAGCCCUCUCCAUAAUAUCCCUGGCUCUGAUCUAACUGAGACUGGCAUUACAUCAACUCCAGCUGAAAGCCGCUGCUCAUGCCCAAUUUGAUCUGGUCUGCACUGAAAAACAAAUCAACAAACAGGCUCAGAGUGAGACAUACAGAGUCAGGCUUCCAGAGCUCUCCAGAGCUGGUCCCAAGCCUGCCCUUGGUCAUUUGUGUGCCCCCCUUGCCCCUGUAAAAUGAGGAUUUUGACAUUUCCCUGCUCACAACACGAGGUAUUUACAUUGUCAGUUGUGAAGGGACGUACUCUUUGUACCUCACCUGGAAUAUGCAAAGUGCUAUGUGACAAUACUGCUCCUCCUGAUUCAUGCCAGCCCACGAGAGAUCACAAUCAGGCUUUGCUAUUGUUUUUCUGAUGAAUACACUACAUGGAAAAAUGCCUGAUAAAAUGAUGGCUCGAGAUUAGUGAUGCAGGUUGGUUUAUUUAAAGCCGUAACAUCAAAGCAAAAGGUCUGCUGAUUCAGCUCAUAAAAAUCAUUGAUGCAUAAAACCAACAACAAUAAUAUCAAGACAGAAAAGGGGAAUGGAGGACUGGGAAAACAGAAGAAGAAAAGGCAACCCAAACCCAUCGUAAGUGCACACAAGACAGACGGUCUGACUCUUUCAAGAAGCAUUUGCAAAUACCCUUGAGCUUAGUGGAGAGAGAGUCUACAUGAAAAACACAUCUAUGGUAACUAGAAGGACAUGAUAUUAAGAAAAGGCAUCUCUCUUCCGUUUAUCUAUCUUUGAUUGAAGCUUCUGGUCCAGCCAGCAGCUUGGGAAUGUCUUCAUUUACAAUAUUCCUUCCUGAAAUCUGAAAGCAAAUUGAAAUGGAGGUCAGUACCCAAAGAGACAUUUCAAACCAUCCACAGCAGCACACUGUAAUAGGGACUUGGCUACGGAGUGACAAGUGACCAUUUGCAGUCAGCCACGCUUCGAUAUUCUCUUCAUGAAGCCCAGAGUGAGAUAUAAUGUGUAUAAAUUAUUGCACAGAUCAUCUCUGCAGAAUGUAGGCAAAACAUAAUGAGAACUGCACCAAGAACAACAGGACUGAGGCAACUCAUGGACCCUCCAGACCAUUCCCUUUGUGAUAUCAUUUCAGUCACAUUUAUUAUAUUCUAAAUUCAUACGAAAGAAGCCAUGGAACCUAACAACUUCUUAGCAGCACUGCUUGAGAGAAGUGUAACUCUACAAACUGAGGCAUAAUACUCAGGAUUAAUACUGGAUAAGCAAAAGGAGAUUCAGCCCUAGGGAGGGAGAGUUAUUUGCUUUUCUUGGAUGAAGUAAAUGACUGCCCAUUACCCAUAAAUUAAAUCAACUCCAAACACUCUCUUCUGCACAGUGUUUUCUUCUCAAACACCAUGCCAGGACAUUUUUGAGAUCCAUCUCUCUGAGGUUCCAGCACAGAAUGAGCUAUUCCAGCCCUGCCAGGCACUCAUUCUUCUUCCAAUAAAGAAAAAUUCUACUUGUGCCACGCCAAAAGUUUCUAAAAGCCUAAUCACUACUUGCAUCUUGUGGCUCCAUGAUGAAAGGAUAAGGAAGGGAACUGGCCUCUCAUUCCUGCUGUCAUUUGUCAUGAUGUUCAGCAUUCCUCGGUCGGCUGUGGCUUGGUCAGCUCACUGCUAAGCCGUGUCCUCCCCUCCUCGCUCCUUCAACCCACCACAAGGUUCCUACAGCCACUAAUUAGGGUGAGCUGGGCAUUAUUACCUUUGUCUAAAUCGAUGUUCUUCGCUGGGAAGCUUCUGGCUUGCUCAGCCUUCUCCUUCAGGAUGUUGUUUUUGUAAUCUGUGUAAGGGAGGAGCAUAAUUCAGACAGCCAUUAGAACACUACAAGAAAAUAAAGCUUUCCAGACAAGGCAGACGUGUGAUGGGCCCUUCCUUGAAGUACUGCAGGUCUGGCAUCCCCGGCUCUCCAGGAGCAACUCAUGGAGUUGCUCAACCACUUGGCAGGAAAAGAAAAGCUGCUAAGACUUCAUUUUUGCACCUGGCACUGAUCAGUUGUGCAUGUCAAAGAACCCCAAAACUCCAAGUGAAACUAAACACGCUUGCUCUGACUUGGGAGCUGAGAUUCCCAAAGCUGCCAUUUAAAAUCAGGAGGUUAAGUCACUUCAAACGGGAGCCUUAGAAAAGGCUCCGUUAUAACGAGUUUUGACCCCGUUUGGAGAAUGGUCCCCAGGUGAUGCAUACCCAGUCUGAUGUCUUCACUUCUGUAUUGAGUCAGAUCUGUCGUGUCGACUGUAAAUUCUUUAAGAUUUACAUCCUUCCUGAAAAAGGAAUAACAGUGAGAAAUGGCAUUGUCACAUCCUUUAAUAACUGACUCCUUCCACACCUUUUCACAACAGCUUUUCUAAUACUACUUUAGAGAACUCAAUUUACAGUGUUUAAUUGUUGUAUACCUGGAGAAAAGUUGAAAAAAAUCUAUAGAAUAUUUCAUUUGCUAUUAAGUACAGGUGAUUUUUCCUGACACACAAGCAUUAUGCAAGUGUAUGUUCCUGGGAACGUUACACUAAUAAUUAAAGCUGCAAAAGAACUGGUGGAAAGCAAAAAACAAACUAUAACAGCCUAUGCUUGACAUGGCUGUACUCGCAUUAACCAGAUCUUCAGCUGGUUUGGGCUCUGACAGCUGAGAGUUGGGGCCCAUAAGUUCAUUUCUAUUUAUUCUAAUUCUAGGUAACAGAUCCUGUAAAUGUACUUACUCUCCGUGUUUCUUCACGUUGUAUUCAUAACCUAAACAAGGAGAAGAAGCAGAAUGAGCAGUCAGAUCCAGUCCAACCAGGCUGGUUAAUAUUUUUGUAGUAAAUGGGAGAUGGAAAGCAAGGAAAGGUGGUGAUGGCUGUAGCUUCUUAUGGCUGGGCACCCAUAAACCUGGCACUUACCUCUAUGCCGGCGCUUGCGGGUGAUGAAGACAACGAUGAUGAGGAGGAUGACGAAGAGCAGCAGAGUGGCCAGGAUGUAGCCCAGCUGCUGGAAGAAAUGCACCCGGCUCUCGGGGAUGAUCACGUUUAUCACGUUGUGGCCCCUGACAACAUUUGGAUCUGAUGGCAGAGACAAAGGAAAACAGGCUGAGAAUUGUGAGCGGCACCCUAAGCAAAGCACGUUCACGUGUGGACCCAAAAAGUGUGUUCAGGGAGAAAGUCUUCUGAACUGCAUGAAGGGCAAACGGCGCCUCAUUUACAACAAUCUGCCUAAUUUACAGCAAUCUGCACCUCUGUCAGUGCCUGUGCACCUCACCAGCGCGUUACACUUCCCAAGAGCACAAAGUACGGACAGCGAGUGUUGGACGUUCCCUUGCUGCCGCCUGGCUCUCCGUGUGUUCUUGUUUAUUGCAGAGAAGCGAAGCCCCGAGCCGUUCGCGGGUAACACAACCCUCCUCUGGGUCCCUUACAACACACACACCGCGUUGCUCCGGCUCCAGACGGCUGAAGUAUGAAGCAGCCUCUCCCUGCCAAGGGUUAUAAUUUACGGAGUGGGAAGAAUUUUCAAUGCCAAAGAAUGAGUUUCCUUUUAAAUAAAAUGAAAAAAAAAAAAAAUCAAUAAAAUAAAUAACAUAAAAACCCACAAAGAAAAGCCAAGAUUCCAUUCCACUUGUGGGCGCAGCAGUAUUUCGGCUCCGCGGCACAGGGAAGGGUAACUUAAACCUUUUACGUGGAACAUUUUUGUAGAUCUCAAGUAAAUAGGUCAAUGUUUUACACAUAGAAAGAGGAAGCGACUUCUCUGCUUGCAAUAGAGCAGCAGACAAACCCAGCAAACCCAUAAGACAGACGGUGCUGGGGAGGUUUUUCUCUUCAAAACAGAGCUGGAAGUGACCCCUUCGCCCCAACAGGGACCGUUCUCAGUGCACCAGGCAAGAAUAAGGGAAAAGAUGGGGGAAAAUAUCCCAAAAGCCACAGUACCAUUGAACAGAUGCGAGAUGUGAGAAACGUUGACAUUUUUUGAGCUGCUGAUAUAGUGACUGGUUCCAGUUUAUCAGGCAGUUUGUUUCCAGCAUUUAAAAACACCAACCUACCAACAAUAAAAGCAAAUAAGAUGACAGUGGAUUGAAAUAAACACUUUGAAACCAGAGAUGAUCGUCUGCUAAUGCUAAAAGCAGUCCCAGGGAACGGAGAGGUUUCAGCACAGGCUCUGGUUUGUAUUGGCGUUGCCGGAUGCCGUGUGCUGACAACCAACAUGUGUUUUUCACCACUGCCCAGCUAAAAAAUACCAAACCAAAUAAACCACUUGCAAAGCUGCAAACAGGACAUGUGGCAGUUGUACUUUAACAAAUCCCUGGACUAUGAAGGGCCCCUUCAGCAGCUGCCACAAGGGGAUGGUUGAGCCAGAAGUCAGCGAACAUCAAUGCAUUUAGUCCUGGCUUUGUGCUUUCCCACAAUACUGCAGGAUAGGGUAGGAGCCGAGUGAAACUUCAGUCAACAUUGGAGAGGUCACUGUAACAACAAAUAAUGAAUAUGAAGAUUCAGCCUCUUUGGGCCUCCUUGGCUUAAUCAGGUAAUACCAAAAAUGCUCGUCAUGCUGGUGCUUUGCCAAAGCGUCACUGGUUGACUCAGAAUUUCAGCUGAGGUGAUGAAGGUUUAUUCUGUAACCAAGAUCUCAUCUUUCAAUACGUCUCAACACGGCGUGCCCACCUGCAUCCAAUUCACUCGCCUGAUCUGGUUUAACUACUGGAAAAUAAAUUCUAACGGUGGGGAAAAAAAAAACCCCAACUUUGAACAGAGGUGCCCUCACAGUAUUUUACCAAAGGGUUUGAUUCUUCUGCUGGGACAAAUGUGGAGCUCUCCACCAACAGAGCUCACAAGUGCUGGGUAUGUGGCCCGUUUUCUUUCCAAGGCUGGCGAAGGACUGAAAAUAGUUUAGCAACAAGCCUGAAACACAACAGAUGCCAUUUUUUACUUGCUCCAAAGUAAACACAGAGUAAAAAUGCACUGAAUUAGUUGAUACUGCUGAGACUGAGAGCAGAAUUGAGCUCACGCUCAUAUUCAAAACAGGACGAAGUUUUCUGUCUGGAAACAGCUUUGGAGCUCUGACAAACACUAUAGCUGCGUGCCGAAAAAUCGCGUUGCUUUGCUUUUGUUAUCUCCUGAUGUUUCAUUUUUGCUUUAUGUUGUAUCCUCAGAAGACUUCUGUAGAGUUUUUCAUGGAACGGGGCAAAAUAUCUCAGCCUUUCCUGCUGUUCACAAGCAGGGCACGUCCCAGCGGCUCCUCAGCAGCAGCGGGUUGGAAAAGGGCACUGGGGAUCUCGCAGCUGCUUUCACAUUCCCCUGCAUUCAGCACAUUUUUGUGCUUGGUGCUCUGAGCCCAGCUGAGCAUUCGCUGCCCGAAGGCAACAAAGCUCUUCUAAGGCUGUUCUUGCUGGAAACAGCUUUUCUAGGAAGGCAAGUUCCUCCAGCACCGAGGGCGCUAAUGCCAAACUAAGACAGCCCCGGUAAGUUAAAUUACUUGUGGGUUCUGCCUAACUUAGGGGCAGCAACAACCAGGAAAGACAGGAAUAAACUCCUGGGUGGGCAGCUCUGAAAACAAGAUCUAGUUUCCAUCUAAUUUCCAACGUGAUCUGGACAGGGCUGAGCUGCAGCACAGAAAGGCCGAUAUUUGGACGUCCCGGCCUCCGUGGCAGCUCAGCCCCAACAGCCACCUCGCUUUAGUCCCGCCUGGGUUGUCUGGACACCAACCUUAGUCCCAGGGGAGAGGUUUAGGUUUCUGUGACUUGAAACAGCCAAUUGCUAGAGAAGAAUAGACCUAUUUAAAAAUGUACGAAGCACGUCCAAAUUCUGUAUUAAGCAGUCAAUAAAUAUCAAACCCCAAUAAAUAUUUGAAAAUGUUAAUAAGGAGCUAUAUUCAAAAGACUUUAAAAAAAUAUUAAACUUGGGAUUUUGAUUUU